rnacentral:rRNA from 1 species
AACGAACGCUGGCGGCAGGCUUAACACAUGCAAGUCGAACGCCCCGCAAGGGGAGUGGCAGACGGGUGAGUAACGCGUGGGAAUCUACCUUUUGCUACGGGAUAGCUCCGGGAAACUGGAAUUAAUACCGUAUGUGCCCUUCGGGGGAAAGAUUUAUCGGCAAAGGAUGAGCCCGCGUUGGAUUAGCUAGUUGGUGGGGUAAAGGCCUACCAAGGCGACGAUCCAUAGCUGGUCUAAGAGGAUGAUCAGCCACAUUGGGACUGAGACACGGCCCAAACUCCUACGGGAGGCAGCAGUGGGGAAUAUUGGACAAUGGGCGCAAGCCUGAUCCAGCCAUGCCGCGUGAGUGAUGAAGGCCCUAGGGUUGUAAAGCUCUUUCAGUGGGGACGAUAAUGACGGUACCCACAGAAGAAGCCCCGGCUAACUUCGUGCCAGCAGCCGCCGCCG